rnacentral:rRNA from 1 species
UACGAAGGGGGCUAGCGUUGCUCGGAAUCACUGGGCGUAAAGCGCACGUAGGCGGAUUGUUAAGUCAGGGGUGAAAUCCUGGAGCUCAACUCCAGAACUGCCUUUGAUACUGGCGAUCUUGAGUCCGGGAGAGGUGAGUGGAACUGCGAGUGUAGAGGUGAAAUUCGUAGAUAUUCGCAAGAACACCAGUGGCGAAGGCGGCUCACUGGCCCGGACUGACGCUGAGGUGCGAAAGCGUGGGGAGCAAACAGG